rnacentral:tRNA from 1 species
GAGGAUAUAGCUCAGUGGUAGAGCACAUGCUUAGUGUGCAUGAAGUCCCGGGUUCAAUCCCCAGCACCUCCA